GCCAAGUCUGGACAAUUCUCACAGUCCCUUGAACUCCUCGAGGGACCCACAGAACCCCAGCCACCGAGAACCACUUCUGCCCCAAAAGAGUGCAGUUCUCACCAACCAUGCCAGGGUGGACCUUGGGUGACAGGAACUUCUGCUGUCCCACCUUCUGAGCCCAUUCUCAGCUAUGAGAACAUUUUAAAGUGUGCUUUUCAAGAUAUAACAGUCCAGCAGGCAGCUGAAGACAUUUCCACCAUAGACCAUUUCCUAGAAAUAAGCAGUGAAGAAAAACCUGGCCUUGAAUGUGUACAUAAAUUGUGUAACGAAUCCAGAAAACUCUGGAGAGCCCUUCAGAGCAUACACACCACGUCUACUUCUCAGCGCCUCUGGAGCGAGUCCCGUUGCCAGGAGAACUUCUUUCUUGUUCUUGGAAUAGAUGCUGCGCAGAAGAACCUUUCUGGAGGCCAGGGCCACAUCAUGGAAGAUUGUGACCUCAAAGAGCCUGAAGGACUCCUCACUGUCAGCAGCUUCUGUCUCCAGCAUUGCAAAGCCCUGAUCCAGACCAAG
rnacentral:sRNA from 1 species